UCAUUGUCUGGCGCCAUCUUGUGUUUUCGUUGUGAUAAAUCUUAACCGAAGUGUGACACUAUGAGCGAAUCAGCAAGAAAUCUAGUGUCAGCAAUUUUGAGCAAUGAAGAGAUUAUUAACACACUGGCGAAUGCAUGUACGGGCCAAAACACUGGUAACAGUACCGUAUCCAGUACCGUUCUCCCGAUGAAGAAGUUUAUUCACUUUUUCAUCGUGGAAGACCGAAUGUAGGGAACCUCGCUGGCCAGGCAGGUCCCUAUCAUCAGGCUAACGUCAACACGCCUUCAACGUCAACCUUCAACCAGGUGGCCCCCACUACAGCACCGACUUAUAAUUUUCGCCCCUCAACGCGAUCGGGCCGAGGACACAGAAGGUUUCAGGCACAAUUGAGCUGUCCUGUGGCUCAGUCUUUUACCAAAGAGGUAAUUCUCUUGCCACACCAUAAAUCAACAAAUGUACCAAGGCGGGCCAGCAAAGCUUGGCUUUUUGAAAAGGGACAUAUUAAAUCUGCCCUGGAAUUUCGCUGUGACUGGGAUUCCGGAAGAGUGUUGCAGGCAAUAACGGUGGCCUUCCAGCCAAUUCUGGAGGGCUGCAGGUAAGCUUUUGAUCCGUUUUGCCACAUUUGUUACGCGUUUUCUUAUAUUUUUGCAAUAAUAUCAUACUGUAUUAUGAAAGGAUAUUUUUGGGUGUGUUGUAAAUUAAAAACAUUUUUUACAUUCC